rnacentral:rRNA from 1 species
CCACUCUGAGAUCGGCCUGCGACCUAUCAGCUUGUUGGUGAGGUAACGGCUUACCAAGGCUAUGACGGGUAGGCGAUGUGAGAGCAUGAUCGCCAACAAUGGGAUUGAGAUACGGCCCAUACUCCUACGGGAGGCAGCAGUGGAGAAUCUUCCACAAUGGGCGAAAGCCUGAUGGAGCGACACCGCGUGCAGGAUGAAGCUCGUGAGAGUGUAAACUGCUUUUCUGGGGGAAGAACUUUUGUGACGGUACCUCAGGAAUAAGGGGAGGCUAACUCUGUGCCAGCAGCAGCGGUAAAACAGAGUCCCCGAGCGUUAUCCGGAAUUACUGGGCGUAAAGGAUUCGUAGGCGGCCUUGUAGGUCUGGUGUUAAAUCUCCUGGGCUUAACCUGGGAAAUGCAUUGGAAACCCCAAGGCUAGAAGACGUUAGGGGCGAGCGGAACGCACGGUGUAGGGGUGAAAUCCGUUGAUAUCGUGCGGAACACCAAAAGCGAAGGCAGCUCGCUGGGGCGAUCUUGACGCUGAGGAAUGAAAGCGUGGGGAGCAAAGAGGAUUAGAUACCCUCGUAGUCCACGCUGUAAACGAUGGAUACUAGCUGCCUGAAGUGUCGACCCUUCAGGUGGCGAAGCUAACGCAUUAAGUAUCCCGCCUGGGAAGUACGGUCGCAAGACUAAAACUCAAAUGAAUUGACGG